rnacentral:rRNA from 1 species
AGGGCUUGACAUUGUACCGUACAUUUCCCUAGAAAUAGGGAGAAAUCCGCAAGGAUGGUAUAAC